rnacentral:tRNA from 1 species
GCGAGAUUAGUACAGUGGUAGUACGCUUGCUUCCCAAGCAAGAUGCGCCAGUUCGAUUCUGGUAUCUCGCACCA